UUGUUAUUUUCGCCAUACACUUGUAUCUGUUUGUCGCAAUUAAAACACAGCACAAUCUGUGCUUCAAGUCGUGCUGGAAGUGGCAGACAUCAGACGUAACGUUUCCCUCCAGGAGAAGGCAGGCAAACAUGGCUG